GCGGAUGCGUUCGGUGCUUCGUUGUCCGGGGACUUUGACUUUGGACUAUGAGACGUGGAGUGGUUAUCGAAUAAUGCUCGUCUUUCCGUUUUAUGUUUGUGGCCGAGUGUGUCCUUUAUUACGAGAGAUUUGUAUGGGCCUGUUUUGGCCGUUUUUAUUGCUUAUCGGGACUGACCGUUGGGUGAUUUGAAUCCCUUACCGCUUUACGCGAUUUUAUAUAUAUGACGAAUGUUUUGUUUCAAGUUUUUCUUGAGUAGGUUUUAGAAGUAGAUAUGAGUUGUCGUCUCAUAUUUAAUUCUGAUGAGACGUUCAGUCUGUUGGUUCGUUCGUGAUUUUCGUAAAAAAUUUACUUAUCUUUACGAUUUUCGGGAACAUUGAGAUGUGAACGGAGAGACAUGGUUUAGGAUCUCGUAUCUUUUAGAUAUCAUG
rnacentral:lncRNA from 1 species